rnacentral:rRNA from 1 species
CGGCAGGCUUAACACAUGCAAGUCGAGCGGUUUAUUCUAGCUUGCUAGAAUAGAUAGCGGCGGACGGGUGAGUAAUACUUAGGAAUCUGCCCAUUAAUGGGGGACAACAUCUCGAAAGGGAUGCUAAUACCGCAUACGCCCUACGGGGGAAAGCAGGGGAUCAUUAUGACCUUGCGUUAAUGGAUGAGCCUAAGUUGGAUUAGCUAGUUGGUGGGGUAAAGGCCUACCAAGGCGACGAUCUAUAGCGGGUCUGAGAGGAUGAUCCGCCACACUGGGACUGAGACACGGCCCAGACUCCUACGGGAGGCAGCAGUGGGGAAUAUUGGACAAUGGGGGGAACCCUGAUCCAGCCAUGCCGCGUGUGUGAAGAAGGCCUUAUGGUUGUAAAGCACUUUAAGCGAGGAGGAGGCUUCUUUGGUUAAUACCCAAAGUAAGUGGACGUUACUCGCAGAAUAAGCACCGGCUAACUCUGUGCCAGCAGCCGCGGUAAUACAGAGGGUGCGAGCGUUAAUCGGAUUUACUGGGCGUAAAGCGUGCGUAGGCGGCUGAUUAAGUUGGAUGUGAAAUCCCCGAGCUUAACUUGGGAAUUGCAUUCAAGACUGGUCGGCUAGAGUAUUGGAGAGGAUGGUAGAAUUCCAGGUGUAGCGGUGAAAUGCGUAGAGAUCUGGAGGAAUACCGAUGGCGAAGGCAGCCAUCUGGCCAAAUACUGACGCUGAGGUACGAAAGCAUGGGGAGCAAACAGGAUUAGAUACCCUGGUAGUCCAUGCCGUAAACGAUGUCUACUAGCCGUUGGGGGAUUUGAUCCUUUAGUGGCGCAGCUAACGCG